rnacentral:misc_RNA from 1 species
AACGCACGAGACCUGCGGACCUGCGGAAGGAUCAUUACCGAGUGCGGGCCCUCGCGGCCCAACCUCCCACCCUUGUCUCUAUACACCUGUUGCUUUGGCGGGCCCACCGGGGCCACCUGGUCGCCGGGGGACGUCGUCUCCGGGCCCGCGCCCGCCGAAGCGCUCUGUGAACCCUGAUGAAGAUGGGCUGUCUGAGUACUAUGAAAAUUGUCAAAACUUUUAACAAUGGAUCUCUAGAUC